rnacentral:rRNA from 1 species
UUGACCUCGGAUCAGGUAGGAAUACCCGCUGAACUUAAGCAUAUCAUAAA